rnacentral:rRNA from 1 species
UACAGAGGGGGCAAGCGUUGUUCGGAAUUACUGGGCGUAAAGGGCGCGUAGGCGGCCUUCUAAGUCAGACGUGAAAUCCCUCGGCUCAACCGGGGAACUGCGUCUGAGACUGGAAGGCUUGAAUCCGGGAGAGGGAUGUGGAAUUCCAGGUGUAGCGGUGAAAUGCGUAGAUAUCUGGAGGAAUACCGGUGGCGAAGGCGGCAUCCUGGACCAUAACUGACGCUGAGGCGCGAAAGCUAGGGGAGCAAACGGG